GUCAUGUUUUUUUGCAGGUUACAUUUCACAGGUAUUAAAAAAUUACACUGAUCAUGCCUGUGAUGGAGAAUAUGUUUCCCUGAGGUGCCCCCACAGAACUACCAUCAGCAUCCAGUCUUCUUUCUAUGGCAGAAUUGUACCAAGUCAUCAGAUGUGUCCUUCUCGCUCUCCCCGCUCCUUUGCAACCUUAAUUAAGGAAGAUGUUGCCUGUUCAGUUGGCACUUCCCUUCAGAAGAUGCUGGAUGAGUGUCAGGACAGACGGAGCUGCCGGUUCCUUGUUCACAGCCGGCUGUUUGGUGUGGAUCCGUGCCCUGAAACAGCCAAAUACCUCCUCGUGUGGUACAAGUGCAGGCCAACCUGCGGUGAAGAUUGUUUUUGCAGGUGCCAGUGGAAGCCUUUGCCAAGACUUAGCUCGUGCUGCCCUGCAGUGCUGUUGGCAGUGAGGGGGCUGCUGCAGCUCCUAUCUGGUUCCAGACCCUGUCACUGCUGCCCAGACAAGCAGUGUAGAUGCUUCAUCCCUGGAGGUGCCCAAUGCCAUGGAAUGGGCUCUGGACAGCCUGAUCUGCUGAGGGGCAGCCAGCUCACAGCAGGAGUUGGACUGGGUGGACGUGGAUGUCCCUUCCAACACAAACCAUGCUGUGAUUCUACAGUCUUCAGUCCCCAUCCUGUCCCACUAAGCGAGUGGGACUCAUUCCCUCUAUUUCUACCCACAGCAGCAUGGUGAGAGCCUGAGUGGGUGAACAUUUUGGAUUCAGGUGCCUAAACUGAGCAGUUAGGGCCGUAAGUCAGUGGCACGCUCACCACCCCAUAUCAUAAUCUAGCUUUUAAUUGCUUCCAGAUCAGGCUGGAAAAUAUUAACCUGUGCUUUGCAUGAUCUCAUUAGCUGUGUUUAAAUUAAAUGGGGUCAGUGCAUGGGUACUGGGAGAGCAGUCAUGCCUGCUGCAGUGUUGUGAGGUCAGUGUGGUUUUAGACUGGGGCAGCUGACACCCUCUUGGCCAAUUCCUGGCCCUGCCAGGGCAGUCAGCAAGGUGAGGACACUGGUCCCCUCUGGUGCUCUGGAAGCAGACACAUCAUCCUGGGCACAGAUAGGGUCCAGCAGUGAC
rnacentral:lncRNA from 1 species